UCCCAGCGUUGUUUAUAUGCCUUCCAAUUCUCGGCUUUAUUUCUUGAUAUCAGAUCCAAACCUGUUGGCGGUUGAAUCCCAUGUAUGAUUGGAGCAUUUGUCGCUUGUUCGACUGCGAUCUAGCUUUGUCUUAUUCCUUAGAUUUCCUUAUAUCUUUGUAUCCCACCACUGCCACCAUGUUAUGUUUCUAAGCAACUUUUAUUACGUCUUUACUAGCAUGCUACUAUGUGAAUAUAACAAAUAAUAAUACUAGGUGUCCAAAUACUUAUAUACAAAGUCAUGUGACACAUGUCACAUGAUUAAUUACG